GACGAACGCUGGCGGCGUGCUUAACACAUGCAAGUCGAACGGAAAGGCCCUGCUUUUGUGGGGUGCUCGAGUGGCGAACGGGUGAGUAACACGUGAGUAACCUGCCCUUGACUUUGGGAUAACUUCAGGAAACUGGGGCUAAUACCGGAUAGGAGCUCCUGCUGCAGGGUGGGGGGUGGAAAGUUUCGGCUGUUGGGGAUGGACUCGCGGCUUAUCAGCUUGUUGGUGGGGGAGUGGCUUACCAAGGCUUUGACGGGUAGCCGGCAUGAGAGGGUGACCGGCGACAUUGGGACUGAGAUACGGCGCAGACUCCUACGGGAGGCAGCAGUGGGGAAUAUUGCACAAUGGGCGGAAGCCUGAUGCAACAACGCCGCGUGCGGGAUGACGGCCUUCGGGUUGUAAACCGCUUUCGCCUGUGACGAAGCGUGAGUGACGGUAAUGGGUAAAGAAGCACCGGCUAACUACGUG
rnacentral:rRNA from 1 species